GAUGAAGAACGUAGCGAAAUGCGAUACUUGGUGUGAAUUGCAGAAUCCCGUGAACCAUCGAGUCUUUGAACGCAAGUUGCGCCCGAAGCCAUUAGGCCGAGGGCACGCCUGCCUGGGCGUCACACGUCGUUGCCCCCCCAUCUACUCCUUCGGGAUUGCGGGGGGCGGAUGAUGGCCUUCCGUGCGCCUCGCCGCGCGGUUGGCAUAAAUGCCAAGUCCUCGGCGACGCACGCCACGACAAUCGGUGGUUGCGAAACCUCGGUUGCCCGUCGUGUGCGGUCGUCGCGCAUCGAGGGCUCGAAAAAAUUGCCGGGUUCCGGCUCGGCUUUCAACGCGACCCCAGGUCAGGCGGGGUUACCCGCUGAAUUUAAGCAUAUCAAUAAGCGGAGGA
rnacentral:misc_RNA from 1 species